GACGAACGCUGGCGGCGUGCUUAACACAUGCAAGUCGAACGGAAAGGCCCUGCUUUUGUGGGGUGCUCGAGUGGCGAACGGGUGAGUAACACGUGAGUAACCUGCCCUUGACUUUGGGAUAACUUCAGGAAACUGGGGCUAAUACCGGAUAGGAGCUCCUGCUGCAUGGUGGGGGUUGGAAAGUUUCGGCGGUUGGGGAUGGACUCGCGGCUUAUCAGCUUGUUGGUGGGGUAGUGGCUUACCAAGGCUUUGACGGGUAGCCGGCCUGAGAGGGUGACCGGCCACAUUGGGACUGAGACACGGCCCAGACUCCUACGGGAGGCAGGAGUGGGGAAUAUUGGACAAUGGGCGAAAGCCUGAUCCAGCAAUGCCGCGUGAGUGAUGAAGGCCUUAGGGUUGUAAAGCUCUUUUACCCGGGAUGAUAAUGACAGUACCGGGAGAAUAAGCUCCGGCUAACUCCGUG
rnacentral:rRNA from 1 species